rnacentral:rRNA from 1 species
CAGCAGCCGCGGUAAUACGAGGGGGGCAAGCGUUGUUCGGAAUUAUUGGGCGUAAAGGGUGCGUAGGCGGUUUGGCAAGUUUGGUGUGAAAUCUUCGGGCUCAACUCGAAGUCUGCAUCGAAAACUGCCGGGCUUGAGUAUGGGAGAGGUGAGUGGAAUUUCCGGUGUAGCGGUGAAAUGCGUAGAUAUCGGAAGGAACACCUGUGGCGAAAGCGGCUCACUGGACCAUAACUGACGCUGAUGCACGAAAGCUAGGGGAGCAAACAGGAUUAGAUACCCCAGUAGUCCCUGUCUCUUAUAU